GGGGCUGAUUCUGGAUUCGACGGGAUUUGCGAAACCCAAGGUGCAUGCCGAGGGGCGGUUGGCCUCGUAAAAAGCCGCAAAAAAAUAGUCGCAAACGACGAAAACUACGCUUUAGCAGCUUAAUAACCUGCUUAGAGCCCUCUCUCCCUAGCCUCCGCUCUUAGGACGGGGAUCAAGAGAGGUCAAACCCAAAAGAGAUCGCGUGGAUGCCCUGCCUGGGGUUGAAGCGUUAAAACAAAUCAGGCUAGUCUGGUAGUGGCGUGUCCGUCCGCAGGUGCCAGGCGAAUGUAAAGACAGACUAAGCAUGUAGUACCGAGGAUGUAGGAAUUUCGGACGCGGGUUCAACUCCCGCCAGCUCCACCA
rnacentral:tmRNA from 2 species